UACAGAGGUGGCAAGCGUUGUUCGGAAUUACUGGGCGUAAAGGGCGAGUAGGCGGCCUUCUAAGUCAGACGUGAAAUCCCCCGGCUUAACCUGGGAACUGCGUCUGAUACUGGGAGGCUUGAGUAUGGGAGAGGGAUGUAGAAUUCCAGGUGUAGCGGUGAAAUGCGUAGAUAUCUGGAGGAAUACCGGUGGCGAAGGCGGCCUUCUGGACAGUGACUGACGCUGAGACGCGAAAGCGUGGGGAGCAAACAGG
rnacentral:rRNA from 1 species